rnacentral:rRNA from 1 species
AAAUGAAUUGACGGGGGCCCGCACAAGCGGUGGAGCAUGUGGUUUAAUUCGACGCAACGCGAAGAACCUUACCAGGCCUUGACAUCUAUAUGAAAGACCAAGAGAUUGGUUCCCUCUUCGGAGCAUAUAGACAGGUGGUGCAUGGUUGUCGUCAGCUCGUGUCGUGAGAUGUUGGGUUAAGUCCCGCAACGAGCGCAACCCUUGUUGUUAGUUGCCAGCACUAACGGUGGGCACUCUAAUGAGACUGCCGGUGACAAACCGGAGGAAGGUGGGGACGACGUCAAAUCAUCAUGCCCUUUAUGGCCUGGGCUACACACGUGCUACAAUGGCCUGUACAGAGGGAAGCGAAAGAGUGAUCUGAAGCAAAUCCCAAAAAGCAGGUCCCAGUUCGGAUUGUAGGCUGCAACUCGCCUGCAUGAAGUCGGAAUCGCUAGUAAUCGCAGAUCAGCAUGCUGCGGUGAAUACGUUCCCGGGCCUUGUACACACCGCCCGU